GUUUGUGUUUUUUUUCCUUCUUCUU
rnacentral:sRNA from 1 species